rnacentral:rRNA from 1 species
AGCAGGCGCGCAAAUUACCCACUCCCGGCACGGGGAGGUAGUGACGAAAAAUAACGAUACGGGACUCAUCCGAGGCCCCGUAAUCGGAAUGAGUACACUUUAAAUCCUUUAACGAGGAUCAAUUGGAGGGCAAGUCUGGUGCCAGCAGCCGCGGUAAUUCCAGCUCCAAUAGCGUAUAUUAAAGUUGUUGCGGUUAAAAAGCUCGUAGUUGAAUCUGUGUGUUACGCUGUCGGUUCACCGCUCGCGGUGUUUAACUGAUACGCUCGUGACACGUCCUACCGGUGGACUUAGCUGUUCGGCCCUCGUGGUUCGAGGCGGUCCUACUUUAAUCCCAUCGCGGUGCUCUUUACCGAGUGUCGAGGUGGGCCGGUACGUUUACUUUGAACAAAUUAGAGUGCUUAAAGCAGGCAAUUUUCGUCUGAAUACUGUGUGCAUGGAAUAAUGGAAUAGGACCUCGGUUCUAUUUUGUUGGUUUUCGGAACUCCGAGGUAAUGAUUAAUAGGGACAGAUGGGGGCAUUCGUAUUGCGACGUUAGAGGUGAAAUUCUUGGAUCGUCGCAAGACGGACAGAAGCGAAAGCAUUUGCCAAAAAUGUUUUCAUUAAUCAAGAACGAAAGUUAGAGGUUCGAAGGCGAUCAGAUACCGCCCUAGUUCUAACCAUAAACGAUGCCAGCUAGCGAUCCGCCGAAGUUCCUCCGAUGACUCGGCGGGCAGCUUCCGGGAAACCAAAGCUUUUGGGUUCCGGGGGAAGUAUGGUUGCAAAGCUGAAACUUAAAGGAAUUGACGGAAGGGCACCACCAGGAGUGGAGCCUGCGGCUUAAUUUGACUCAACACGGGAAACCUCACCAGGCCCGGACACCGGAAGGAU